ACGGGAGGCAGCAGUGGGGAAUAUUGCACAAUGGGGGAAACCCUGAUGCAGCGACGCCGCGUGAGUGAAGAAGUUAUUCGUAAUGUAAAGCUCUAUCAGCAGGGAAGAAAAUGACGGUACCUGACUAAGAAGCCCCGGCUAACUACGUGCCAGCAGCCGCGGUAAUACGUAGGGGGCAAGCGUUAUCCGGAUUUAUUGGGUUUAAAGGGAGCGUAGGCGGAAGGUCAAGUCAGCUGUGAAAUGUAGUCGCUCAACGUCUGCACUGCAGUUGAAACUGGCCUCCUUGAGUGCGUAAGAGGCGGGCGGAAUUCGUCGUGUAGCGGUGAAAUGCUUAGAUAUGACGAAGAACUCCGAUUGCGAAGGCAGCUCGCUGGGCCGCAACUGACGCUGAAGCUCGAAGGUGCGGGUAUCAAACAGGAUUAGAUACCCUGGUA
rnacentral:rRNA from 1 species